GUAGAUGCUCAUUCCACCCUCUUAUGACUGCGUAGCUUCAUAAACCUGGGAAUGAUGCAGAGCCAAAUUACAGUGUCUCUUGUCUAUCUGACCGAUAACCUUGUGGUUAUCAACCAGCAGGCAAUACGUUGAGUGUGACACUACCCCUGUUGUCUAAGACCUGAUUGUUUUUACACUUGUCUCUCCGGCAAGUGUUUUUUU
rnacentral:sRNA from 1 species